UCUAGAACUCGAGAUAUGGGCUGAACACCAAACAAUGUCUGGGCUGCAAGACAAAUUCAGACUUCUCUUUUGUUGCUAAGAUUUGAACUUGAAAAUGGCCGUAUUGAAUCUUGGAAUAUCAUGAAUGUUUUAGGCCUAUGUCUUAGCUUUCCAUU
rfam:Populus trichocarpa scaffold_8_contig_121, whole genome shotgun sequence.